GAAUGCUGACAUAAGUAACGAUAAAGCGGGUGAAAAGCCCGCUCGCCGGAAGACCAAGGGUUCCUGUCCAACGUUAAUCGGGGCAGGGUGAGUCGACCCCUAAGGCGAGGCCGAAAGGCGUAGUCGAUGGGAAACGGGUUAAUAUUCCCGUACUUGGUGUUACUGCGAAGGGGGGACGGAGAAGGCUAUGUUGGCCGGGCGACGGUUGUCCCGGUUUAAGCGUGUAGGUGUGUGUUCCAGGUAAAUCCGGUUCACUUUAACACUGAGGCGUGACGACGAGGCACUACGGUGCUGAAGCAACAAAUGCCCUGCUUCCAGGAAAAGCCUCUAAGCAUCAGGUAACAUCAAAUCGUACCCCAAACCGACACAGGUGGUCAGGUAGAGAAUACCAAGGCGCUUGAGAGAACUCGGGUGAAGGAACUAGGCAAAAUGGUGCCGUAACUUCGGGAGAAGGCACGCUGAUAUGUAGGUGAAGUGAUUUACUCAUGGAGCUGAAAUCAGUCGAAGAUACCAGCUGGCUGCAACUGUUUAUUAAAAACACAGCACUGUGCAAACACGAAAGUGGACGUAUACGGUGUGACGCCUGCCCGGUGCCGGAAGGUUAAUUG
rnacentral:rRNA from 1 species